rnacentral:tRNA from 1 species
GACUUGGUACUUUAAAUUAAAAGACCUGGCUUGCAUUCAGGCAAUGAGCCUAUUGGCUUCUAGGUCA